rnacentral:rRNA from 1 species
UGUGGUGAUGAUGGCUUGAAGGAUACACCUGUUCCCAUGCCGAACACAGAAGUUAAGCUUCAACGCGCCGAAAGUAGUUGGG